GGUCGGGUAGCGAGUAGUGAUACAACACCCUUAGGGGGAAAGCUGCUGGCCGACUUUGCACGGUGUUCAAGUACCCGACCGCCCCACU
rnacentral:ncRNA from 16 species